CACUCCAACCCCUGUGACAUACCAAUUGUUGCCUCGGCGGAUCAGCCCGCUCCCGGUAAAACGGGACGGCCCGCCAGAGGACCCCUAAACUCUGUUUCUAUAUGUAACUUCUGAGUAAAACCAUAAAUAAAUCAAAACUUUCAACAACGGAUCUCUUGGUUCUGGCAUCGAUGAAGAACGCAGCAAAAUGCGAUAAGUAAUGUGAAUUGCAGAAUUCAGUGAAUCAUCGAAUCUUUGAACGCACAUUGCGCCCGCCAGUAUUCUGGCGGGCAUGCCUGUUCGAGCGUCAUUUCAACCCUCAAGCCCAGCUUGGUGUUGGGACUCGCGAGUCAAAUCGCGUUCCCCAAAUUGAUUGGCGGUCACGUCGAGCUUCCAUAGCGUAGUAGUAAAACCCUCGUUACUGGUAAUCGUCGCGGCCACGCCGUUAAACCCCAACUUCUGAAUGUUGACCUCGGAUCAGGUAGGAAUACCCGCUGAACUUAAGCAUAUCAAUAAGCGGAGGA
rnacentral:rRNA from 1 species